AUGCUUUCAGAAAAGAAUCUCUCAGCGACCAUGCUCCUAAUUGUCAUCGUGGCCGCCGUAUGUCCAGUGUAUUCAAUGGCAUUUGCAUGCAACCCGCCGACUGGAUGCCGGCACCCGAGCGGCAAUUAUAGAGGACCGUGCCUUGGCUUAAGCGACGGUUGCAAUCAGACAUGCCAAGAUGAAAGCUUCCAUAACAAGUGGGGCGAGUGUGACUGCGACUUUAAAUGCUACUGCUAUACAUGCUAG
rnacentral:rRNA from 1 species